GAUGAAGAACGCAGCGAAAUGCGAUAAGUAGUGUGAAUUGCAGAAUUUAGUGAAUCAUCGAAUCUUUGAACGCACAUUGCGCCCCAUGGUAUUCCGUGGGGCAUGCCUGUUCGAGCGUCAUUUACCCCCUCAAGCUCCGCUUGGUGUUGGGCGUCUGUCCCGCUUCGCGCGCGGACUCGCCCCAAAGGUAUUGGCAGCGGUCGUGCCAGCUUCUCGCGCAGCACAUUGCGCUUCUCGAGGCACCGGUGGGCCCGCGUCCAUCAAGCUCACCCCCCCAGUUUGACCUCGGAUCAGGUAGGGAUACCCGCUGAACUUAAGCAUAUCAAUAAGCGGAGGA
rnacentral:misc_RNA from 1 species